rnacentral:rRNA from 1 species
AAUCAACGCUGGCGGCGUGCUUAACACAUGCAAGUCGAGCGCCCCGCAAGGGGAGCGGCAGACGGGUGAGUAACGCGUGGGAAUCUACCCAUCUCUACGGAAUAACGCAUGGAAACGUGUGCUAAUACCGUAUACGUCCUUCGGGAGAAAGAUUUAUCGGAGAUGGAUGAGCCCGCGUUGGAUUAGCUAGUUGGUGGGGUAAAGGCCUACCAAGGCGACGAUCCAUAGCUGGUCUGAGAGGAUGAUCAGCCACACUGGGACUGAGACACGGCCCAGACUCCUACGGGAGGCAGCAGUGGGGAAUAUUGGACAAUGGGCGCAAGCCUGAUCCAGCCAUGCCGCGUGAGUGAUGAAGGCCCUAGGGUUGUAAAGCUCUUUCACCGGUGAAGAUAAUGACGGUAACCGGAGAAGAAGCCCCGGCUAACUUCGUGCCAGCAGCCGCCGUAA